rnacentral:rRNA from 1 species
AGAGUUUGAUCCUGGCUCAGGACGAACGCUGGCGGCGUGCCUAAUACAUGCAAGUAGAACGCUGAAGAGAGGAGCUUGCUCUUCUUGGAUGAGUUGCGAACGGGUGAGUAACGCGUAGGUAACCUGCCUUGUAGCGUGGGAUAACUAUUGGAAACGAUAGCUAAUACCGCAUAACAAUGGAUGACCCAUGUCAUUUAUUUGAAAGGGGCAAAUGCUCCACUACAAGAUGGACCUGCGUUGUAUUAGCUAGUAGGUGAGGUAACGGCUCACCUAGGCGACGAUACAUAGCCGACCUGAGAGGGUGAUCGGCCACACUGGGACUGAGACACGGCCCAGACUCCUACGGGAGGCAGCAGUAGGGAAUCUUCGGCAAUGGGGGCAACCCUGACCGAGCAACGCCGCGUGAGUGAAGAAGGUUUUCGGAUCGUAAAGCUCUGUUGUAAGUCAAGAACGAGUGUGAGAGUGGAAAGUUCACACUGUGACGGUAGCUUACCAGAAAGGGACGGCUAACUACGUGCCAGCAGCCGCGGUAAUACGUAGGUCCCGAGCGUUGUCCGGAUUUAUUGGGCGUAAAGCGAGCGCAGGCGGUUUGAUAAGUCUGAAGUUAAAGGCUGCGGCUCAACCAUAGUUCGCUUUGGAAACUGUCAAACUUGAGUGCAGAAGGGGAGAGUGGAAUUCCAUGUGUAGCGGUGAAAUGCGUAGAUAUAUGGAGGAACACCGGUGGCGAAAGCGGCUCUCUGGUCUGUAACUGACGCUGAGGCUCGAAAGCGUGGGGAGCGAACAGGAUUGGAUACCCUGGUAGUCCACGCCGUAAACGAUGAGUGCUAGGUGUUGGAUCCUUUCCGGGAUUCAGUGCCGCAGCUAACGCAUUAAGCACUCCGCCUGGGGAGUACGACCGCAAGGUUGAAACUCAAAGGAAUUGACGGGGGCCCGCACAAGCGGUGGAGCAUGUGGUUUAAUUCGAAGCAACGCGAAGAGCCUUACCAGGUCUUGACAUCCCGAUGCUAUUUCUAGAGAUAGAAAGUUACUUCGGUACAUCGGUGACAGGUGGUGCAUGGUUGUCGUCAGCUCGUGUCGUGAGAUGUUGGGUUAAGUCCCGCAACGAGCGCAACCCCUAUUGUUAGUUGCCAUCAUUCAGUUGGGCACUCUAGCGAGACUGCCGGUAAUAAACCGGAGGAAGGUGGGGAAGACGUCAAAUCAUCAUGCCCCUUAUGACCUGGGCUACACACGUGCUACAAUGGUUGGUACAACGAGUUGCGAGUCGGUGACGGCAAGCUAAUCUCUUAAAGCCAAUCUCAGUUCGGAUUGUAGGCUGCAACUCGCCUACAUGAAGUCGGAAUCGCUAGUAAUCGCGGAUCAGCACGCCGCGGUGAAUACGUUCCCGGGCCUUGUACACACCGCCCGUCACACCACGAGAGUUUGUAACACCCGAAGUCGGUGAGGUAACCUUUUGGAGCCAGCCGCCUAAGGUGGGAUAGAUGAUUGGGGUGAAGUCGUAACAAGGUA